GUCUCUAUGGGGGGAUCCAGCACCCCUCUCACCCCCCUUUUCCCUCCCCACAGAUGGUCCCGACCACGACGGGCCCCCCCUGGACUAUGGGGGAGCAGCACGAGCCUGGCAGCCUAUCACGGAGCGUUUCCGAGGCCCCCCCGGGCUGAUGGAGGAGGAGCAGAGGUGAGGAGGGGCCUAUGGGGGGGUUCUGGGGGGGUUCCCGAUGUGUGUCCUCCCCCCUCACUGUGUGUCGUCCCCCCCCUCCAGGCUGGACCCUCCCAGUUGGGGGCCCGGGGGGGGCCCGUUGCCGCGGGAACCGCUGCGGCCCCCCCCGCCUCCGCCUCCCCCCACGGGCCUCCCCCGGCGCCUCCUCCCGCUGCGGCCGCAGCUCCUGGCCCUGGGGCUCCUCGUGGCCCUUCUGGUGCUGCUGCACUUCGGGGGGGGGGGGGGGCACCCCCGAAACCACCCCCCCGCGGAGGAGACCCCCCCAUAACCCCCCUCCUCGACCCCAAUGUCUCACAGGGACCCCCCCAAACCCCACAAGGACCCCCUCAGGGACCCCCCCAAACCACUCAUUGUCCCCCCAGGGACCCCCUAAUAUGCCUUUGGAACACCCAGGGCCCCCCCCGGACCCCAAUACCCCCAGGGCCACCCAACACUAUUAUGCCCCCCCCCCCCCGACCCCCAUUAUCCCCUUUGGACCCACAGGGACCCCCCCGGACCCCAAUACCCCCAGGGCCACCCAACACUAUUAUGCCCCCCCCCCCCCCGACCCCCAUUAUCCCCUUUGGACCCCCAGGGACCCCCCCAAAACCACCCAUUGCCCCCUCCACGGAUCCCCAUUAUCCCCUUGGGAGCCCCCAGAUCACGCCUAGACCCUCCCCAGACCCCCCUUGUUCCGACACGACCCCCCGAAACCGGGGGGGGGAUGAGGGGCGGGAGUCUCCCCCCCCCCAUUAAUAAAGGCAGCGUGUUUGUAUGGACUGGCGUCAAUCAAUGGGCC
rnacentral:lncRNA from 1 species